rnacentral:sRNA from 1 species
AGACGGUGCAAUUUUAGCGGGAUAACAAGUGCUCAAAAUGUUAGCGUAAAAUAUCAAAUAUCUAACAAAAAUGUACGACUACCGAUAUCAAAACUGUCGAUAUAUCAAUAAAGGCGCUCUGGACAUGCAACUCUUCUAAAACAGCACAUUACACACACUGACAUGGCCAAUAUGUAUGUAUGCAUGCAUGUUAUAUUCUUCGGCCUAAGAACAGAAAUCGUUUCCAUCUAGUUAUAAUUGAUUCAUCCAUUGUCAAAAUUCCAGUCAGUGGGGACAACCGAAAUAUCCUUUUGUUCUAUGACGCAGACAUUCACAAUGUGCGAACAUAUUUAACAUUUAUUCAGCACUAAAUACUAUUCAAAAAAAGGAUGAUAGGAUACUAAAUUAGUUUUUUACACUGUUUAUUGGUUGGAUCUUUUCAUGUUUAUUUUCUUGUUGUAAAUUUAGUGUAGCAUUACACGCGUUAUUUUGUAUAAAAAAAAAA